rnacentral:rRNA from 1 species
CCUUGACAUGCCACUAACGAAGCAGAGAUGCAUUAGGUGCCCGAAAGGGAAAGUGGACACAGGUGCUGCAUGGCUGUCGUCAGCUCGUGUCGUGAGAUGUUGGGUUAAGUCCCGCAACGAGCGCAACCCUUGCCAAUAAUUGCCAUCAUUCAGUUGGGCACUUUAUUGGGACUGCCGGUGACAAACCGGAGGAAGGUGGGGAUGACGUCAAGUCCUCAUGGCCCUUAUGGCCAGGGCUUCACACGUAAUACAAUGGCGCGUACAGAGGGUUGCCAACCCGCGAGGGGGAGCCAAUCCCAGAAAGCGCGUCGUAGUCCGAAUUGCAGUCUGCAACUCGACUGCAUGAAGUCGGAAUCGCUAGUAAUCGCGGAUCAGCAUGUCGCGGUGAAUACGUUCCCGGGCCUUGUACACACCGCCCGUCACACCAUGGGAGUGGGUUCUACCAGAAGUAGCUAGUCUAACCGCAAGGGGGACGGUUACCACGGUAGGAUUCAUGACUGGGGUGAAGUCGUAAUCAAGGUAGCCGUA